UGUGCUUUGCCGCGUUGUGAAUGUCGCAUAGAUGGACCCUUUAUAACAAUUGAUUCAUUAUCGCAUUACAUUGAGAUACACAGACAAAGCGGACUUCUGCAUGACAUGGAACCUGAAAAGAGCUUGAUCAAAAUUAAUUGGGAAAAUGAAUGCCUUGCCUACAAUUACUCAUACAAAGUGGAAUUUCGUUUCGACAUUGUACUUCCUUCACCGUUUACGUCAAACCACCCAUACAAGGUUUUGGCAACAACUGUAAACGACUAUGAUGUCCUGAUACAAAAGAUUCUAUUUCCGAGAUUUGCUGACUUAUUGGGAGAACAACUUAAUGUGCAUCAAAAGUCAAUGUCACAUCCAAACAAGAUUGCUGAUUGCUUGUGCAUUGUUUAUGAUACGGGUGCCAAAUGUUGUGAAGAAGUAGACAACAUAGAAAAACUUGUGCUUGCUUGGAACUCGAAGCGUUUGUUGUGCUGCAAGCUACGAUUCUCACUGACAGGCAAUUGUCAUCAACCGUCCGGUUUUUUCUUGAAAAAUGGUAAAUCUGUCAAGGAUUACAUGCAUGAAAAGAAAGAAUUUGAGUUGACUGAAAUGGAGAGUUUCAUAAAGGAUUUACAAGAUAAAAGGAAUAAGUGCGACACUGACACAGAACAAGCGUUAACCGUUUUCAUUUCAAACAUGUCUUUAUUUAUUCAUGGCUGCACAUGGAACAAG